rnacentral:rRNA from 1 species
CUCUGUUGUUAGAGAAGAACAAGGAUGAGAGUAACUGUUCAUCCCUUGACGGUAUCUAACCAGAAAGCCACGGCUAACUACGUGCCAGCAGCCGCGGUAAUACGUAGGUGGCAAGCGUUGUCCGGAUUUAUUGGGCGUAAAGCGAGCGCAAGCGGUUUCUUAAGUCUGAUGUGAAAGCCCCCGGCUCAACCGGGGAGGGUCAUUGGAAACUGGGAGACUUGAGUGCAGAAGAGGAGAGUGGAAUUCCAUGUGUAGCGGUGAAAUGCGUAGAUAUAUGGAGGAACACCAGUGGCGAAGGCGG